GUCUUUUCCUUUCACCUUUUGUAAUCCCCUUUCUACUCUUCACGAUGACCCUGACCUCAUAAACUCUGACUCCAACCACGUAAACACCAGCCACCUAUUCUCUAUAUUGACGACACUAUACACAUGACCACUAACACUCACCUUUCUGACCUAACCCAUCGCAAAUCCCCCCUUCCCGUUACGGUUGAUGUUUGUUAACACAACAGACGACAUCCACUCGAUAAUUCCACGAUUUUCGGUAACACAUAUACCUUAAAUCCCCUUAUCUCCUUAAAGCUUUAUGGUCUUCGACAGGUCUUGAAGCUCCAUUCUCUCUAUUGCGAUUCCGAUCAGACGAAGAGAUAACGAACUAUUAUACUCAACACAUACCGCAAAUCGGAAUGAAGGUCUGGUUUUCUCGCUGACCGCACCACACCUAGCCACACAUAUGAAAACUGAUCUUCAUCUUCCUACUCUCCACAAAACCCCUGACCACAUGAACUUUGGUCUAACCACAUAAACACUGAUCUUCAUCUUUCUACUCUCUACAAAGCCCCUCACCAUAUGAACUAUGCCAACCACAUGAACAUUGACAGUGACCUUUCUACCAACCACAUGAAUACUGGCCCUAAUCACUUUCUUUCCACGAAGACUAUGACCAUGUAGCUUCCGACCCUAGCCAAAAAUAAAGGGAGAGACCGAGCAUUUAAUUCACGUCUACGUCUCCACUUUUCUUAGAUGUGUCUUAAUUAAAUAACAACCCUCAAAUCAAUUUUACUAACAAGCAAUCCAAUAGU
rnacentral:lncRNA from 1 species